UACGAAGGGGCUAGCGUUGUUCGGAUUUACUGGGCGUAAAGCGCACGUAGGCGGGUCGUUAAGUCAGGGUGAAUCCCGGAGCUCAACUCCGGAACUGCCUUUGAUACUGGCGACCUUGAGGCUGGAAGAGGUUAGUGGAAUUCCCAGUGUAGAGGUGAAAUUCGUAGAUAUUGGAAGAACACCAGUGGCGAAGGCGGCUAACUGGUCCAGAUCUGACGCUGAGUGCGAAAGCGUGGAAGCAACAGGAUUAGAACCAGGUA
rnacentral:rRNA from 1 species